rnacentral:rRNA from 1 species
UACGAAGGGGGCUAGCGUUGUUCGGAAUUACUGGGCGUAAAGCGCACGUAGGCGGAUAUUUAAGUCAGGGGUGAAAUCCCGCAGCUCAACUGCGGAACUGCCUUUGAUACUGGGUAUCUUGAGUAUGGAAGAGGUAAGUGGAAUUGCGAGUGUAGAGGUGAAAUUCGUAGAUAUUCGCAGGAACACCAGUGGCGAAGGCGGCUUACUGGUCCAUAACUGACGCUGAGGUGCGAAAGCGUGGGAGCAAACAGGG